UGUGCACUAUUCUAUGACGUUUUUAAGUACAAAUAGUGCGAGUAGUGCGUUCACACAGAAAAUCCCAAAAAGAAAAAGUGCACUUUAAAUACCCGGAUGAUGCACUAAAUUAACGGAAAAAAUGAAGUGUAGAAUGUUGGACACUUCAUGCACUCAACUGUCGCAGCUUUAAUUACGUUGCAGAGGGGGAGGGGCUAUCAGACUCUAUAAGGUCUUACGGGUGUGGAACGACAUGAGGCGCACCGGCUCCAUCCACCCUCAGAUCUGUGCUGACACCUCCACCGCCUCCAUCCACCUUCAGGUCUUUCACCUCCACUGCCUCCAUCUGCUAGGCCUACACUUCCACCCCUUCUUCCACCCGAUGUUUCAACCCAUCACCACGUCACCACGUCACCAGAAACCCCUCAAAGACAAAUCAGGGACAUCAUGUUUGUUCGCAUCUUAACACUUCUUGAGAUGAAAGAGACACAAAAAAUCCAAGGGAGGAUGCUACAAAUGCUUGUAAAACAGCGUGGCAACAUUAGCACCACCGUCUCUUCGACCCCAGAGGGUUUUCCCCUAAAGACAGUUAGGGAUGUGGAAAUCAUGGAAGAAAAACUGGCAAACCCAAACUUCAUGUCCGAACUGGUAUGUAUGUUAAGUCUAGGGUAGUGCAACUCAAUUCAAUUUUAUUGGGGGGCUAGCAGUGAAUUUGAUCUGAAACUUCCCAGGUGUGCUCACACCCAUGCUUCUGGAAGUUCUUUCAUGUUUAGUGGUUUACUUCAGUGAGCAAUAUGCUGUAGAUAAUUUUGCUUUGUAUUGCCUUUGUUCCCCCUCAGGUUGCAGCUAUGACUGACAUAGGGGGGGCAACUGUUGACGAGGCCACAAGAAGGAUGAUGACCUUCCUCCUAGACCAUGGCCUAUCCAGGCAGUACAACUUUGUGGGCCGAAAUGGGAAGAGAGUUCAAGGCCUUAAAACUGUAUGAAGUAAUAUAUGGAAAAAACAACGUUACGGAUGUGACAGUUUUCCGUUACGGAUGCGACCGGUCUGAAAGCGGCACAGAAGACUGCUUUAAAAAACUUUCACAGAGAUCUCAAGCAGGCAUUUAAACCACCAAAUAUUGAAAUCUGGGAUACCAGUAUGGUAAGACUGCACAAUUUAUCAACUUUUUACUAAACUUUAUACUCUGUAUUGCAAAAGGUUAUGGAUUAGACCUAUUUCUCAUGUUGACAAAGUGUGUGCGUUGUUCAAGAAUCAAUUCAGAGACCCUGAUUUUCCUUCUUACAGAACUGCUUGCAAAAAUACAUUGACAAAUAUUAAUGUUUAUCAUAAAGCAGUUUAAAAUCGCAUGUUUUCCCCACAGUCAGGUGAACCGAUUGACGUAGGCUACAAUCGCAAACAUGUCAGUUUUAUGUUUCGUCUAAAUGAUCACACUUUAUUUCAAGUCAAAAUUAUUGCAAUCUUUUUAUUUUGUCAGCUUGAUCGCGCGGAUUGUGAUCAAUAGGCUAUUCAUUUUUUAACCAAUAGGUAAAAACUUCCGAGGGAAGUGUCCUAUGCGACACAGUGCUCUUCUAUAAGUUGUACUGUAUCAUAUAGGCCUACCUUUUGAUGUUCAUAUUUCGUUCUGUAACUGGCAAGAGGAAGAGAAGAUCGGUUCAUGUGCGCCUGAUCCACUUGAUCUGAGGCGCUGCAGUAGCUAAUCUGUCACGCGCCGUAGCUAUAGGCAAUUAAAGAGCGACAUCUAUUGUUUAAAUUUUGUUAUAAAAUCGGCUGAAUUUGAAAGUUGAACCUUUUUCAUAUUAAAACUAACAAAGCACAAAGAGUGUUGCGACUAUUGGAUAUGUUCUGAUAUACGGUAAGCCUGAAACAGACCACAGCAAUAAAGAAGCAAAGUCAUAGGAUUUAAUAUGAAGCGUCCGUAACGGUCACGUCCAUAACGCUUAUUAUGGUUGUUCAGAGCAACGUAGUGAAAUGAAUUGUUGAUCCUAAUAAGCAUAAACAUAAUUUAUGGGGGGUAAUAGACAAGCCCGACAGGCAACCCCUCAACAAGGACUUCAGGCUUCAGGUUCAUUUGAGGUGGAAAGUAGCUAAUCCUGUCUAUAACAGUGAGGGAACACUGAGCAAAAGUUUUCUUAAUGUUUUUCUUAAUUUUACUUAAAUAAAAAGGUAAUUAAUUGUA